CCCCUUCCAAAAUAACAUCAUUGCCCACUUGUCCCCAUGGCCACUCUUUAGUCAUGCAGAUGGGGGUUCUUACAGGCCCUACUAGUGCCAUUAUCUUAACCAAGACACUGGAUUGCCCCCUUCAGUGAUUCCCUUCUACUACAAACUCCCAUCUCGCAGAUACGACGACGCAAGUUUGGUUGGAACCCACUGGCAUAAACCAAACCAGAAUUUGGCAGCUUGCAUGCUAGCACUCGACUAUGUAUUUCAGCAGUGCUGAAAGAACUAAACUGGCUGCCAAUCGUUAUUGUUGACAUACAUGCCCCCCAACUACUCAGGGCCUGCCUGAGCACCAGCUGAUCUGCCUUCCUAAUUACACCCAUCUGAACCUUAAGAUUUUCAGAGGAGACCCCUUUUAAUGGUUGCUCAAGAGCCGGCCUUCUCUCAGAGUCAUUGAUCCUCUGCAAUGCUUACUGUCUGAGAAGCACCAAAGGUAAUGAACUUCAAGCGACAGUUGAAAGCUGUUCCGUUUCCACAGGCUUCCUUUAACUCUUAAAGUGUUUUAAAGCAGGCUAUGUUUGCUUUCUCGCUAUUGUAUUGUUUUAUACGGCACGGGUGUCUUUUAAUUUCACCCUCUCCCCUACACUCAGGCAACGAGGGCACCGCAGGGGGUGGAGAGACAGCGGAGACGGCCCCGAUCCCACCAUCCGCUUAACGGCCGCACAGAGCUAGCCUAGCGCCGCGGCGGGGGACUAGGAGCAAAGAGGGUCCCCGACUAGGCCGCAGCCAGGCCCUCU